CUCUGCAAAUGCUACUGCAUCUCCUGUCUCCAUGAGUAAAAAAGUCAGGUUCAGGGAGGUCAGGUGACUUGCUCGAGGCCACACAGCAGGUGGUGCAGGCCCAGGCCCAGGUCUGGCUGCUUCCCUGAACUUGCUCUCGGCUGCUCCCGCCUGUCUCUGCCGUGCACACCUGGCUCCCAUCUUCCCGAGGGAGGUGGCAUGUGUGUCUCUGUACACCACCAGGUGUGCACCCACCCAUUCGUCCUCAACAGCAGCACUCAGAGCUGACUCCGGCCCCAAAGCACUCAAAGGUGGAAAGACGCCUGGGAGCGCCCAUUCGACAGGGAAGACAGGUCCCUAGGAAGACAGUGAUGCAUGUGGACCCAUCGUCAGAGCAGGCUUCCUGAAGACAAGGAGUCCGGGUGCACCGGCCAGGACACCGGGCAUUGGACGUGGGACCCACACGGAUAGGCGAAGACGGUCACAUCUUAUGAUCCCUGGACUUGAUGACUUCCGCAAAGACCCUCUUUCCUGAACCAGUCUGGUGGUGGCCCCGUUGGCGUGGACGCUGGGUGGCCCGGCAUCCUGGCAGCCCCCGCAUCUGACAGAAAGACGCUGAGACGUUGCUUGUGCCACGAAGCCCUGCACCUGCCCCUCCUGACUCACCUGCUGCCCACCUGCGACAGAUUUCGUCUCCAGACAUGACUGAUCAUUAUGCUUGACCCCCAGGGAAUCAGCAACUGACACCGGUGUGGUGGAGAGCAACAACCCAUUUCACAGAUGCAGACACCGAGGCCCAAGUGGGUGCAAUAACUCACCUGAGGCCAACCAGCUAGCAACUGGCAAGACCAGGAUUGGAACUCAAAUGGGACACCCCUCCCCUGGGGCCUCUGGAGGGAGGUGGCCCUACUGACACCUGGACCUUGGACUUCCCUCUGGCCUCCAAGCUGGGAGAGACCCAAUUUCUGUUGUUUAAAGUUACCCCAUUCGUGGCACUUUGUCACAGCCGCCCUGGGAAGUAAGACACCCCAGCCCCCCCGUGUCUGGGGGAGGGGCCGUGUCGGUCAUCCCACCCUGCCAUGUGAACUUCCUGUUCUGGCCACGUUAUCUGGAAACUGAGGAUGUGGCUAAAUUUUGUUCUGGGGGGAAAAACAGAAAAGCAGGUGCCAGAACUCUCCACUUAAGCAGCACAGAUCCCGGGGCCUUGGAGAUACCUCUCGGGGCGGGCUCCCAGCCCGCAGCCAGCCGGCCCUUCUCUCCCCACCCCCGACCCUGCCUCACCCUAGUGUCCAGCCUGGAGCUCCCCCCCCCCCACCCCACCGCUGGCCACCUCCACCAGGCUGGAGCUGAGAAGCAGAGAUCCCCUCCCGCAUACCUUCACUGCCAUGUGGUCGAGCAGAGUCACUGCCUUUUAGCUAUGCGGCAAACUAUGUGCCCGGGGACAAGCAGGACCAUUGGGUCCCCAGGGCCCCCAAACACAUUCUUUGCAUCUCAAAAAAAUGCCAAAGGCAUCUGAUCAGAGUGAGAUUGUUCCCCGAGUGAGCGCGGCCUGCGAGGCCUUCCUGGAGCCUGCGAGCGGCCCGGAGUCACCGUCUCCGGCCUGCGGCCAGCCUGCCAGGGCCCUGGAAGGAGAACCCGCCUGUUUUCCGUCACCACACGCCACCUGCAGACCCUCCGAUGCUGACGACGCCCCUGGUUCUGAGCCCACAUGGCUCUCCUUGUCCUCACUGGGGUGGCUCUUAGCCCCAGGCAGGCCCUGAAAUAACUAAUUCCUUUUGUCCGCUACAGUGGCCAGCAUGUUGGCUUGUGGAAGCAGGCAGCCCAGACAUGCAUGGGGGCCAGAGCAGGUCGGGGGUAUUCCAGAAUGUUCUGAGCCUCAGUUACCUUCUGUGAGACAGAAAUGAGAAGGCACGAGCGUGCAUGGUGCACUGCCCCACAGAAGGAGCAGGCGCCAGGGGUCCCUCAGGGUCAGCUCUGGGGCUGGCCCUGCACCCCAAGGUGUAUCUGGUCACUUUUUCCCAAGGAUAUGGCCUUAAGGCACCUUCCGCUGCCCUCCUUGUCAACGUCUCCGCUGCACCUGUCCUCAGGAGGGGCUGGCUCUGCACACAGAAGAGAUGGGAUCUGUGCCCUUGUCCCCUCAAGGCCUGUCAUCCUAGCUAUGCCCGAAGUGCCCGAGUCCCUCCUCCUGGGCCUGGGCGCACCCCCACAGCGCCCCCUCCCACCCAGCAGGGGAAGGCGACAGGAGCUGAGCCAGCCAGGCUGCCAUCAGGACCCCCAGGGCCUCCUGGGCCACCUGUUGUCUGGCACCCAGGGGAUCAGAGUAGCCAGGCUCCCUCCAGUCCCUCCGCCAACCAGGUGUUAUGGGGUCUGAGCCCCAGGCCCAGCUGACAACAACCCCUUGUGCAUGAGGCUCAGCACACCCCACAGCUGGGUGCAGAUCACGCAGCCCUUCCUGGCUGGACCCUGCCUGGGCCGGGUGGCCACACACACACACACACACACACACACACACACACACCCCAAGGGGGAACCUGGGAAAGCGAGGCAUGGCCAGAGCACUCUGCCCUCUCACCCCCACCCCUGGCUGCUCAGAGGCAGAGCAGGGAGGCUCAGGGCUGGGCACAGGGUCAGACAUCCACUCAUUCAUUUGUUCACUUAGCCGCUGGGAAUUUACGGAGCACCUACCACAUGCCAGGUAGUAUUCUGAGCACUUGGGACUCAGCAGUGAAUAAAAUAACGUCCUUGCUCUGGUGGAGUUUACAGUCCAGUAAGGGGAAGCUGUGAACAGAAUCUAUACUACAAAGUGUUCACCACACCAGACAGACAACGGGACAGGACAAGGAGGAAGUCAAGGCAGGUGGGGCAAGGCGGGGCGGGGUCUGACACUGUCAGGAUGGGGUGCUGGAUGUGUAAAGGCCCUGGGGCACAUGCUCAAGGAGCUGUGGUGAAAGGUCACACAGAAGAGAUGUGGGGCAGAGAGGGGGACGCCCACAGAGAGGCAGACUUCUGGGGAAUCAGGGCCGCAUGAACAGAGCAUCCAUAGAAGUGUAAGGUCUGCUGAGCCACAACAGAUCACCCAGGAGAGACCCAUGUCACCCAUCCACCCCCCAGCACCCAGAUUUCCUCUGCAGAUGUCAGGUAUGGGCACGAGAAAGGUCACAAGAGUGUCCCCACCCGGGGAGAAGCAGCUCCAAGUGGCCUCCGUGGUGGCUGGCAAGUGGGGCCGGCACCAAGACCACUCCAGACCCAGCCGGAGGGGUCCCCGCAGCCAGAGUGGGGACUCGGCCCACCUCCACUUGCCCACCGCGGGCCAGGCCGCCCCCGCCAGAACCUACAGUUCAGCAAACAUGUGUGCAGACUCAGCAGGCCCAGGGCAGUGCGGGCGCACAGGUCCCAGGUGUCACUUGAGCCGCAUAAAAAACAGUGAUGAGAGCCCCUGGCGGAGGCAGCCAGGGCCGCGGCAGCGGGGGGGACGUCCCCGGCACAGGCUUUGGGGUCAAGUCUGUGGGAGGAGGAGGCUCCUUUGCAGAGAAGGGAAGGAAGGAAGUUCCAGACGAGGGUGACUGCCCCUGUCCCCCACCUGGCCUGGGGCCGAGUGAGGGAGGGACGGAGGGAGGCCCGGGCCCAAGGGGACACCUGCUGCUGGAGCUCUGCUGCCCCCCGCCGGCCGGCUCCAGUACUGCGUGUGCACCAGGCAGUGGCCCUCCAGGUGUGAGUCCUACCUGGCCCUGCCGCUGGACAGGGCCUCGUCUUGGGCCCUCACCUGUAUGCAAAUCACCCCUGGGGCCCACAGCCCACUGGCAGCAGGGACAGCAUGAAGAGCCUGCAUUUCCCGUCACCGAAGCUGGCUCACAGUGUCUGGGGCACUGACCAGGUGGCCCUCCAGGCCCACGGGGGCCCCACCGCAGCCAGGGCCUCGAAG